rnacentral:rRNA from 1 species
UCCUAGCGGUCCAAGUCGCAGCCAUCAUUAUUGGGUCUAAAACAUCCGUAGCUUGUUUAAUAAGUUCCCUGUGAAAUCUUGUCUCUUAAAGGCAAGGCGUGCAAGGAAUACUGCUAAACUAGAGACUGGAAGACGUAAAAAGUAUGUUCAAAGUAGUGGUAAAAUAUGUUAAUCUUGGACAGACUAACAACAGCGAAGGCAUUUUACGAGGACAGUUCUGACAGUAAAGGAUGAAGGCUAGGGUCGCGAAAGG